CAAAGGUUCAUUUGGGUUUUCCCCUAAGAUGUUAUAGAAAAACCAGAAUGAACUUUUUUG
rnacentral:pre_miRNA from 1 species